UGGUGAUUAUAGCGAAGGGGAUCCACCUGUUCUCAUCCCGAACACAGCAGUUAAGCCCUUCAGCGCCAACUAUACUUAUCGCGAAGGCGAUUGGGAAACUAGGUCGUUGCCA
rnacentral:rRNA from 1 species